GACGAACCGUGCGAACGUUUGUUCGGAAUUACUGGGCGUAAAGCGCACGUAGGCGGCUAUUCAAGUCAGAGGUGAAAGCCCGGGGCUCAACCCCGGAACUGCCUUUGAAACUAGAUAGCUAGAAUCUUGGAGAGGUCAGUGGAAUUCCGAGUGUAGAGGUGAAAUUCGUAGAUAUUCGGAAGAACACCAGUGGCGAAGGCGACUGACUGGACAAGUAUUGACGCUGAGGUGCGAAAGCGUGGGGAGCAAACAGG
rnacentral:rRNA from 1 species